rnacentral:rRNA from 1 species
UGGGGAAUCUUGGACAAUGGGGGCAACCCUGAUCCAGCCAUGCCGCGUGAGUGAUGAAGGCCUUAGGGUCGUAAAGCUCUUUCGCCUGUGAAGAUAAUGACGGUAGCAGGUAAAGAAACCCCGGCUAACUCCGUGCCAGCAGCCGCGGUAAUACGGAGGGGGUUAGCGUUGUUCGGAAUUACUGGGCGUAAAGCGCACGUAGGCGGACCAGAAAGUUGGGGGUGAAAUCCCGGGGGCUCAACCCCGGAACUGCCUCCAAAACUAUUGGUCUAGAGUUCGAGAGAGGUGAGUGGAAUUCCAAGUGUAGAGGUGAAAUUCGUAGAUAUUUGGAGGAACACCAGUGGCGAAGGCGGCUCACUGGCUCGAUACUGACGCUGAGGUGCGAAAGUGUGGGGAGCAAACAGGAUUAGAUACCCUGGUAGUCCACACCGUAAAACGAUGAAUGCCAGUCGUCGGGUAGCAUGCUAUUCGGUGACGCAGCUAA